rnacentral:rRNA from 1 species
UAGAGUUUGAUCCUGGCUCAGGACGAACGCUGGCGGCGUGCUUAACACAUGCAAGUCGAACGAUGAAGCCGCUUCGGACGGGUGAGUAACACGUGGGCAAUCUGCCCUGCACUCUGGGACAAGCCUGGAAACGGGGUCUAAUACCGGAUAUGACACGGGAUCGCAUGGUCUCCGUGUGGAAAGCUCCGGCGGUGCAGGAUGAGCCCGCGGCCUAUCAGCUUGUUGGUGGGGUGAUGGCCUACCAAGGCGGUAGCCGGCCUGCCGGCCACACUGGGACUGAGACACGGCCCAGACUCCUACGGGAGGCAGCAGUGGGGAAUAUUGCACAAUGGGCGCAAGCCUGAUGCAGCGACGCCGCGUGAGGGAUGACGGCCUUCGGGUUGUAAACCUCUUUCAGCAGGGAAGAAGCGAGAGUACCGGCUAACUACGUGCCAGCAGCCGCGGUAAUACGUAGGGUGCGAGCGUUGUCCGGAAUUAUUGGGCGUAAAGAGCUCGUAGGCGGCUUGUCGCGGAAAGCCCGGGGCUUAACCCCGGGUCUGCAGGGCAGGCUAGAGUUCGGCAGGGGAGAUUGGAAUUCCUGGUGUAGCGGCGCAGAUAUCAGGAGGAACACCGGUGGCGAAGGCGGAUCUCUGGGCCGAUACUGACGCGUGGGGAGCGAACAGGAUUAGAUACCCUGGU